GACAGAGGGGGCAAGCGUUGCUCGGAAUCACUGGGCGUAAAGGGCGCGUAGGCGGGAGGGCAAGUCGGUCGUGAAAUCCCCCGGCUCAACUGGGGAGAGUCGGCCGAGACUGUCAUUCUUGAGGUCGGCAGAGGAGACUGGAAUUCCCGGUGUAGCGGUGAAAUGUGUAGAGAUCGGGAGGAACACCGGUGGCGAAGGCGGGUCUCUGGGCCGUACCUGACGCUGAGGCGCGAAAGCGUGGGGAGCAAACGGG
rnacentral:rRNA from 1 species